UCCAGUGAAAAUGCCUAAAGGAAACUUUUCCUGAACAACAGUACUAUAAAUAGACCAAAGAACGCAGUUGAUUUCAGACUUCAACUGAAGACAUUACCAGACGACUUCAUUUCGAAUACACAUCAUAGCGAAUACACACGAGGACUCCAGAGGAUAGACGUCAGAGCAAUCGGCCUAUAACUUCCUGCUAUUGCAGAAUCUUUCCCUGGUUUGGGAAUAGGGAUUACGACGGUUUGUUUCCAGAAUAAAGGUAGGGUGUCGGUUGUCCUUCCACCCAUAUUUUAUUAAAAUGAUCCAAUAUUGCUUUAAGUAUUAUUUCAUCCAUAUGUUUAAUCAUAGUAUAGCAAACUCUAUCUUUUCCUGGAGCAGUUCUUCUAACCCUCAUUAAUACUCUUUCUAGUUCCCACAUUUUAAAGCUGGCAUCUAAAGCUGAUUGACUAUCAGUUGUUGUUUUUUAAAUAUAAAUAUCUUGAUGUUGCUUUAAAAUUGCUUCCCUCCUUCUCUUCUAAUUUCUCUCUAGAUUAUCUGUGCUUUUUGAAAGGUGAAGGCUAACAGCUUUUUCAGCUUUUUCUACUUCAGUAACUGCUGUUUUCCCUUCAUUUGCUAAAACUGCAAUAUUCUGAGUUCUGUAAACACCAACCAUCUUAUUAAGGACACUCCAUACUUCUCCCAACUGAGUUUCCCUUCCUAUUGUGGAGCAGUGCCAGAUUUAAGAGACAUGAGAGAAAGCCCGUGGGUAAGUUCACAGCCUGUUACCAGAACACACGUACAUCUCAUCUGAUGUUUGCAGAUGGACUGAGAUUGAGAAAUGACUGUUACAGUAAGAGCCAGAUUUACUUUAGCAGGCACUUUUUUAAAAAACCUAUAACUUCAAAUAAGAAACAUCUUCAUCAUUUGUUAAAAAAGCCAAUGAUGAUUUGACUCUCAUUUAUAUAGAGAUGACACUUGUGCUGACAAUCAGCCAUUGUUUGCAGUGUUUGUUUGAGCUGUUAGUGCCACAGUGUAAAAGGAUUGUUGCGUCACUCAUCUCCGGGAAAGGUCAUCUCCAGGUUUGUACAUGUUUUAUUUCAUCUCGUUUAGACUAAUGUAGUGUUGGUGUCAGCCAGGCCUCUCUCUCACGCUUGCGGUUAGUGCAGAAUGCUGCAGCUCGACAUUUAACAUGAACACGUAAACAGGAACAUAUUUCCCCCAUAUUGGCUUCUCUACAUUGGCUUUCAGUCCGUUUUAGGAUUGAUUUUAAGGUUGUAAUGAUUGCUUAUAAAUCCUUAAAUGGCCUAGCCCCAACUUUCCUUCCUGACCUUAUACAACUGCACGUCCCAUCAAGGUCUCUGAGGUCUGCUGACCAUAUGCUCAUGGCCAUCCCUAGAGUAAGACUGAAGCACAGGGGAGAUUGUGACUUUGCAGUGGCUGCCCUUAAACUCUGGAACUCAUUACUAUUGUCUGUGAGGAUGGCCCGAACUCUGUCUGCUUUAAAACUAGUCUUAAAACAUGUUUUUAUUCUUUGGCAUUGAAUUCAGUCUGAGAGCUGUGGUUCUUCUCUUUUUGUUGUUUGUUUUUCUGAUUUGUAAUGUACAGUACUUUGUACAGUACCCGUUUGUUGUUGGUUGUUUUAUGACCCUUUAUGUUCAGCACUUUGGUCAACUACUGUUGUUUUAAAUGUGCUCUAGAAAUAAAUUCAACUUGAAACAUGGCAAGUUAGUAAAUACUGCUUCAUAUAUCCAGACCUUCAACAUCAGACAAUAUUAAGGCAAUGUGUAUAAAUAUAUCAGUGUUCAUUAAUAAAACUAAAAGGCAAUUAUUUAAUUUUUUCCCAGUUUUUUACAGCUAUUUAACAAAAAUCAGAUGACUUUCUGUAUCUAUUGAUGUUCUUCUUCAUCAUCUCUCAGGACCAUCUUCCACAACCUGUUUGAACUGUUGCUGUCUGAACAGGAUUCAGAACACUGGGCACUUUAUCAAUUUAUAAAACGUUGUGCAGAAAUCAUCCUAAAUUAGAUGUUACGAUUAUUUCUCAGAUGUGCGUACGUGUGAUGUGCACUUUGCGUACUCCACGUCAAAAACAAAUAUGAAUAUGAGUGCUGGCUGGAUUUAAGUGUACACACACUCGAAGAUCAAAUCUGUGUGUACGCACGCUUUAUAAAUGAGUCCCCUGGACACAGGAGCAGCUUCUUCCCACAGGCCAUUUCCCUCCUGAACAGUUAAUGCCUCCAAAGGCACAUACCUGCAAGUGCAACACUCCCACUGUUGAUAUUUAAUCAUAUUAUUCACAAUACUGUAAAUAUGUUCAUAAUCGGUAAAUAUGUAUAUUAUGACUAAGACUAAGCCUAACUGUGUCCUUAUGCUUUUUAUAUUCUUUAUUUUUUAUUCUUAAAUGUUAUGUUUCUUGUUGUUGUAUUUGCAUGUGUGCACUAAAAGCUUCAGUACCAAGGUAAAUUCCCUGUGUGUGCAAACGCACUUGACAUUAAAGCUCUUUCUGAUUCUGAACAGGUCGUGACAGAAGGGACAUGUUCAUGUUCAUUUAUGUGGAACGAGGAAGGCAUUAUGCAUUAUAUUGUUGAGACACGUUAUUAUUAAUUGUGUCCUUUAACCCUCUGGGCUUUACGUUGUUUUCUUUAAGUGUUGUUGUCACCGGGAGAGUUUUGACAUGCCCUGACAUCUCUGCUUAUUUCUGUUACGUCUAACAUUUUCAUGUCUAAAGUCUGAUUACGCUGUAUUCAGCACAAACUCUGCAUGUAUGUAAACAUUUGUAGUUUUGAGAAAAUUAUGUUUAUAAGUGGUUUGUGAAAAAAAGUCACUGAAGGCCAUAAAAUGCGAUUAAUUCAAAAUUCUUAACGCGUUAAAAUAAUUCAUGUGAAAUUGUAUCAUAACAUAAUUUAUAUCACGUUUCACUUUAAAACAUGAACUCUCUGUCACAUUCUCUCAUUUUAUCUGAAGAGCGCGAGACCCCCCGCAUUGCACUGUUCCCGUCUGAACGGAUCGUCCAAACAUCCCACCGCUGUGUGGCCAGAUGAUAUGAAAACUAUGUUUUUUAUUUUUGCUGGAUAAAGCAAACCAGCAUCUUGCUAUGAAAGUUUUGAUGGAUGAGGAUUGCAAUCAAAGUAAAGACGAUUGUGUGAUGUACAGGAGUCAUACAUUAAGCGUGUUCAUAUCUGAGGUCUUCUUAAGAGGCUGGAUCCAAACUGAAGCUGAUGUACUCUCUAGUCACCUUAGGAGGGGCAUCCCAAGAUAAAACAGAAAAGCAAAUGGAGAAUAAUUUGCGUAGCUGCUGUUCAUAAGGUUCUGAGACCAUAUGGGGUGAAGGUGAAGACAGAACCAAACUAAAGCUGGACUGUAACCUACUGGAGUCAAGUCAAAUCACCUUUAUUUAUAUAGCGCUUUUUACAAUGCAGAUUGUGUCAAAGCAGCUUUACAUUGAUAACUGGUACAUUAUUUUGGCUGCACAGCAGCUCUUAAAGAAUAGUGUCAAUGCAGGCAGA